UACGUAGGGUGCAAGCGUUGUCCGGAAUUUAUUGGGCGUAAAGAGCGUGUAGGCGGCCAUACAGGUCAGCUGUGAAAAACUCGAGGCUCAACCUCGAGACGUCGGUUGAAACCGUAUGGCUAGAGUCCGGAAGAGGAGAGUGGAAUUCCCGGUGUAGCGGUGAAAUGCGUAGAUAUCGGGAGAACACCAGUGGCGAAGGCGAUAACCUGGGGUUGUUCUGGACGCUGAGGAGCGAAAGCUAGGGGAGCAAAGCA
rnacentral:rRNA from 1 species